AAGUGUUUUAUUGACAGAUGAUCAAAGUUGUCUGAUGCAAUUUGAGCUUGCUUUAGCAAGAAAGUCUAACCUAUUCCAAUGUUCUCCUCCAUGAGACCGUUAUAUAGACUUACACAGU
rnacentral:snoRNA from 1 species